UAGGGAAUCUUCCGCAAUGGACGAAAGUCUGACGGAGCAACGCCGCGUGAGUGAAGAAGGAUUUCGGUUCGUAAAACUCUGUUGUUAGGGAAGAAAAAAUGUAUAGUAACUAUAUACAAAAGAGACGGUACCUAACCAGAAAGCCACGGCUAACUACGUGCCAGCAGCCGCGGUAAUACGUAGGGCGCGAGCGUUGUCCGGAAUUAUUGGGCGUAAAGGGCUUGUAGGUGGCGUGUCGCGUCUGCUGUGAAAUUCCAGGGCUUAACUUUGGGAUUGCAGUGGGUACGGGCAUGCUAGAGUGCAGUAGGGGAGAUUGGAAUUCCUGGUGUAGCGGUGAAAUGCGCAGAUAUCAGGAGGAACACCGGUGGCGAAGGCGGGUCUCUGGGCUGUUACUGACGCUGAGGAGCGAAAGCGUGGGGAGCGAACAGG
rnacentral:rRNA from 1 species